rnacentral:rRNA from 1 species
ACGCUCGACACCUACGGAGGCAGCAGUAGGGAAUCUUCCACAAUGGACGCAAGUCUGAUGGAGCAACGCCGCGUGAGUGAAGAAGGUCUUCGGAUCGUAAAACUCUGUUGUUAGAGAAGAACACGAGUGAGAGUAACUGUUCAUUCGAUGACGGUAUCUAACCAGCAAGUCACGGCUAACUACGUGCAGCAGCCGCGGUAAUCUGAGGCGGGCGUGGCGAAGGC